rnacentral:rRNA from 1 species
AGUGAACGCUGGCGGUAGGCCUAACACAUGCAAGUCGAACGGCAGCACAGUAAGAGCUUGCUCUUACGGGUGGCGAGUGGCGGACGGGUGAGGAAUACAUCGGAAUCUACUUUUUCGUGGGGGAUAACGUAGGGAAACUUACGCUAAUACCGCAUACGACCUACGGGUGAAAGCAGGGGAUCUUCGGACCUUGCGCGAUUGAAUGAGCCGAUGUCGGAUUAGCUAGUUGGCGGGGUAAAGGCCCACCAAGGCGACGAUCCGUAGCUGGUCUGAGAGGAUGAUCAGCCACACUGGAACUGAGACACGGUCCAGACUCCUACGGGAGGCAGCAGUGGGGAAUAUUGGACAAUGGGCGCAAGCCUGAUCCAGCCAUACCGCGUGGGUGAAGAAGGCCUUCGGGUUGUAAAGCCCUUUUGUUGGGAAAGAAAAGCAGCAGGUUGAUCCCCCGCUGUUCUGACGGUACCCAAAGAAUAAGCACCGGCUAACUUCGUG